CACGUAGUUAGCCGUGGCUUUCUGAUUAGGUACCGUCAAGACGUGCACAGUUACUAACACAUUUGUUCUUCCCUAAUAACAGAGUUUUACGAUCCGAAGACCUUCAUCACUCACGCGGCGUUGCUCCGUCAGGCUUUCGCCCAUUGCGGAAGAUUCCCUACUGCUGCCUCCCGUAGGAGUCUGGACCGUGUCUCAGUUCCAGUGUGGCCGAUCACCCUCUCAGGUCGGCUACGUAUCGUUGCCUUGGUAAGCCAUUACCCCACCAACUAGCUAAUACGGCGCGGGUCCAUCUAUAAGUGAUAGCAAAACCAUCUUUCACUUUAGAACCAUGCGGUUCUAAAUAUUAUCCGGCAUUAGCCCCGGUUUCCCGGAGUUACUUCCAGUCUUAUAGGUAGGUUACCCACGUGUUACUCACCCGUUCCGCCGCUAACGUCAAAGGAGCAAGCUCCUUAUCUGUUCGCUCGACUUUGCUAUGUAUUAGGCACGCCGCCAGUCGUUCAUCCUGACGCCAGGACUACAAACUCUCG
rnacentral:rRNA from 1 species